UACGGAGGGGGGCUAGCGUUGUUCGGAAUUACUGGGCGUAAAGCGCGCGUAGGCGGCUUUGUAAGUUAGAGGUGAAAGCCCGGAGCUCAACUCCGGAAUUGCCUUUAAGACUGCAUCGCUAGAAUCAUGGAGAGGUGAGUGGAAUUCCGAGUGUAGAGGUGAAAAUUCGUAGAUAUUCGGAAGAACACCAGUGGCGAAGGCGACUCACUGGACAUGUAUUGACGCUGAGGUGCGAAAGCGUGGGGAGCAAACAGG
rnacentral:rRNA from 1 species